UGGGGAAUAUUGCGCAAUGGGCGAAAGCCUGACGCAGCGACGCCGCGUGAGGGAUGAAGGUUUUCGGAUCGUAAACCUCUGUCAGAAGGGAAGAAACCGCACUGUGCUAAUCAGCAGUGCCUUGACGGUACCUUCAAAGGAAGCACCGGCUAACUCCGUGCCAGCAGCCGCGGUAAUACGGAGGGUGCAAGCGUUAAUCGGAAUUACUGGGCGUAAAGCGCACGUAGGCUGCUUUGUAAGUCAGGGGUGAAAUCCCACGGCUCAACCGUGGAACUGCCUUUGAUACUGCUUAGCUUGAAUCCGGGAGAGGGUGGCGGAAUUCCAGGUGUAGGAGUGAAAUCCGUAGAUAUCUGGAGGAACAUCAGUGGCGAAUGCGGCCACCUGGACCGGUAUUGACGCUGAGGUGCGAAAGCGUGGGGAGCAAACAGG
rnacentral:rRNA from 1 species